AUUUCGGAAUGCAAAGUAAAAUUAAAAUAUUUGUGUUCUAUAAGAGUAGGAAUUCAAGUGUUUGCUUAAUAUUUAUUUGAAUCUGAGACUCAUAUAAAUAAUAAGCCGUUGUCCGGUGAAAGAAGUUGUUUUCCAACGACCCACAAAACUCCUUUUCAACGCUGAAGUUAAAUAAUCAAUUAUAAUGUAAUGCGAUUAUGAUUUUUUUUAUUUGACCAAACCGGGUUAUGCAUUGUGAAAUCUAUGACGAAACCGGGUGGUAAACAUUGACGAAACCGGCCAGUUCCAUUUUGACAUGACCAAUUUCUUUCGUUCCAUACACAGAGAUACAAGUAUUGAGAUGCUC
rnacentral:lncRNA from 1 species